rnacentral:rRNA from 1 species
GGGGCCCGCACAAGUGGUGGAGCAUGUGGUUUAAUUCGAUGAUACGCGAGGAACCUUACCUAGGCUAGAAUGCGCGUGACCGGCUCAGAGAUGAGCCUUUCCUUCGGGACACAAAGCAAGGUGCUGCAUGGCCGUCGUCAGCUCGUGCCGUGAGGUGUUGGGUUAAGUCCCGCAACGAGCGCAACCCCUAUGUUUAGUUGCCAGCAUGUAAUGAUGGGGACUCUAGACAGACUGCCUGCGCAAGCAGUGAGGAAGGCGGGGACGACGUCAGGUCAUCAUGGCCCUUACGCCUAGGGCGACACACGUGCUACAAUGGACGGUACAGCGGGUAGCUACACAGCGAUGUGAUGCCAAUCUCGAAAAGCCGUUCUCAGUUCGGAUCGGAGUCUGCAACUCGACUCCGUGAAGCUGGAAUCACUAGUAAUCGCGCAUCAGCCAUGGCGCGGUGAAUACGUUCCCGGGCCUUGUACACACCGCCCGUCAAGCCAUGAAAGUCUGGUAGACCUGAAGCUGGUGCUCCGCAACGAAGCCAGUUAGGGUAGAACAGGUAAUUAGGGCUAAGUCGUAACAAGGUAGCCGUACCGGAAGGUGCGGCUGGAUCACCUCCUU